GAGCUACCAGUACCAUCUCAGUAUCAUCUAAAAUGUAUAGUAGACAUGGACUACCAUCGUCCAUGUCAUCCUCUGGGAUGGCUGAUGCGGAACAACUUCCUUUCCCGCUUCUCCCUGUUAGAGUAAAUGUUAGAUUAUACAAAAGAUAGAAAUAAUUGCACAUAAAUGUUNAUUAAGUUUACCUGUGGGAGGUGGAAGGAUAACAUGUUCCUCUAUAGGAGAUGGCACCAGGCGCAUGCUCUGAAACUGCUGCUGGAACAUGCUUUGGAAUUCAGCCCUCACCUCGGCCCUGAUCUCGUCUCUAAGGUCUUCUCGGAUCUUUUUUGUGAUCUCUUCUGUCAUCCAUUGUGUAUCGCUGUAUGAAUAUGAACGCUGACGAGAAGAGCUCCUAAAAUAAUCUUUAAUUCCUACUCCAGAACCUGCAGCACGUACACGUCCAGGGUGCUCAGGUCGUCCAAUCGCAGCAGCAAGAAUAUCCUGGCGACCCUCUGGAGUGAAUUGGCCUUGGGAGCUCUACUCAACCAAGGCGUCCUGUAACAUUACAAAACACCAUUAUUCUUAAAAUAUUUUAAUGUAGUAUGUAUAAUGACAAUACUUAUUAUUUUAGGAAUAGUGAUAACUUACAAUUCUUUCAGAAAUCUCUCGUGUAGUGUCGGAAGAGUAGGUGCCCGAUGGUCGCAUACGGGCCAACUUCCAUUUCUCAUGUCUAGACGGUGGAGAAGGAGGCUGAGGAGGGCUACCACCCUGAGAUGGUGGUAUAGCAUCUGCCUUUUGCUUGAGGAUUUUCUCCUCAAGCUUCCUAUACCCACCACGAGAUAAUAGGUGGGGGGUUUUUGUUGUGAGCACUUGUUCCUUGUGCUUUGCUUCUAAUUGCCUGUCACAUACACAUUAAUUAAUUAGUUCAUAUGAUAUAUAUUUGNUAAUGAAGAAUUGAAUAAUAUCAACUAUACUAACCUGCCAUUCCUCUGACAACCGACUCUCUUUAAAA
rnacentral:lncRNA from 1 species